rnacentral:rRNA from 1 species
CAAGGAAUCUUCGGCAAUGGGCGCAAGCCUGACCGAGCAACGCCGCGUGGAGGACGACGGCCUUCGGGUUGUAAACUCCUUUUGGGGGGGAUGAUACGGACAGUACCCCCUGAAUAAGCCCCGGCUAACUCUGUGCCAGCAGCCGCGGUAAUACAGAGGGGGCAAGCGUUGUCCGGACUUACUGGGCGUACAGCGCGCGCAGGUGGUUGGCUAAGUUCGUGGUGACAGCGUGCGGCUCAACCGCACACGGUCCAGGGAGACUGGCUAACUGGAGGCAUCGAGAGGGAAACGGAAUACCCGGUGGAGCGGUGAAAUGCGUAGAGAUCGGGUGGAACACCAGUGGCGAAGGCGGUUUCCUGGCGAUGACCUGACACUGAGGCGCGACAGCGUGGGGAGCAAACGGG